GAUGAACGCUGGCGGCGUGCCUAAUACAUGCAAGUCGAGCGAACAGAUAAGGAGCUUGCUCCUUUGACGUUAGCGGCGGACGGGUGAGUAACACGUGGGUAACCUACCUAUAAGACUGGAAUAACUCCGGGAAACCGGGGCUAAUGCCGGAUAACAUUUAGAACCGCAUGGUUCUAAAGUGAAAGAUGGUUUUGCUAUCACUUAUAGAAGGACCCGCGCCGUAUUAGCUAGUUGGUAAGGUAACGGCUUACCAAGGCAACGAUACGUAGCCGACCUGAGAGGGUGAUCGGCCACACUGGAACUGAGACACGGUCCAGACUCCUACGGGAGGCAGCAGUAGGGAAUCUUCCGCAAUGGGCGAAAGCCUGACGGAGCAACGCCGCGUGAGUGAUGAAGGUCUUCGGAUCGUAAAACUCUGUUAUUAGGGAAGAACAAAUGUGUAAGUAACUGUGCACGUCUUGACGGUACCUAAUCAGAAAGCCACGGCUAACUACGUG
rnacentral:rRNA from 1 species